rnacentral:rRNA from 1 species
CGCGCCCACAGCCGCCCUCUCACGGAAGAGAUCUGUGCGACGUGAGCAUCGACGGAAUAAACCCCAUAGCCUUCAACAGUGGCUGUGGGGAAAACACGGUUUUUUUACUUGAAAAAAAUUAAGUUUCGCAAGACGGGCCUAUGCUUCAAUAGAUGUGUAGCGAACAAUAGAAUAGGACGUGUGGUUCUAUUUUGUUGGUUUCUAGGACCGCCGUAAUGAUUAAUAGGGACAGUCGGGGGCAUCAGUAUUCAAUUGUCAGAGGUGAAAUUCUUGGAUCUAUUGAAGACUAACUACUGCGAAAGCAUUUGCCAAGGAUGUUUUCAUUGAUAAGGAACGAAAGUUAGGGGAUCGAAGACGAUCAGAUACCGUCGUAGUCUUAACUAUAAACUAUGCCGACUAGGGAUCGGACGAUGUUAUUCUUUGACGCGUUCGGCACCUUUCGAGAAAUCAAAGUGCUUGGGCUCCAGGGGGAGUAUGGUCGCAAGGCUGAAACUUAAAGAAAUUGACGGAAGGGCACCACCAGGGGUGGAACCUGCGGCUUAAUUUGACUCAACACGGGGAAACUCACCAGGUCCAGACACAGUGAGGAUUGACAGAUUGAGAGCUCUUU